rnacentral:misc_RNA from 1 species
CAUCAAUUCGGCCAUCUGCC